rnacentral:rRNA from 1 species
UCCAGAGGGUGCAAACGUUGUUCGGAAUUACUGGGCGUAAAGCGCGUGUAGGCGGCCCUGCAAGUCGGAUGUGAAAUCCCACGGCUCAACCGUGGAAGUGCAUUCGAAACUGCGGGGCUGGAGUACUGGAGAGGAAGGUGGAAUGCUCGGUGUAGAGGUGAAAUUCGUAGAUAUCGAGCGGAACACCGGUGGCGAAGGCGGCCUUCUGGACAGUUACUGACGCUGAGACGCGAAAGCGUGGGGAGCAAACAGG